UUUUUAUGCUACUCAUAAAUAUCCUUCCUUUAUUAUUUCUAAAAUGUCAUCAGCCUGACAUUAGAGUUACAGCUAUUGAAGACAAAUAUAUGUAAACACGUGAAGAAUUUUAAAAUCCAACGGAAGACAUGAAAACAUCUUUAGAAUCGUGGCCAAGCCAGAGGAGAAGACAUUAAAAUGUCUUUAGAACUGUAGCCAAAGAGGAUUAUGGGAACAAAGAAGAAUUCAAUUAGGCAGUGUUUGAAGCAGGAGAGUAUCCAGGUGCCUACAAAAUACCAGGAAUGGAUGUUCUAAGGUUAAAGAAGAAGAAAUCAUUGGAGUCUUUAUUCUUUCUUCCUCUCCUCAUUUACCACUCAUUAGCAGCGGUUUCUGACCCCUCCAGGAU
rnacentral:lncRNA from 1 species